rnacentral:rRNA from 1 species
UGCCAGCCGCCGCGGUAAUACGGAGGGGGUUAGCGUUGUUCGGAAUUACUGGGCGUAAAGGGCGCGCAGGCGGCGACUUAAGUCGGGUGUGAAAUCCCGGGGCUCAACCCCGGAACUGCCUCUAAUACUGCUAGUCUUGAGUUCGAGAGAGGUGAGUGGAAUUCCGAGUGUAGAGGUGAAAUUCGUAGAUAUUCGGAGGAACACCAGUGGCGAAGGCGGCUCACUGGCUCGAUACUGACGCUGAGGUGCGAAAGCGUGGGGAGCAAACAGGAUUAGAUA